CCUACGGAGGCAGCAGUGGGGAAUAUUGGACAAUGGGCGAAAGCCUGAUCCAGCCAUGCCGCGUGUGUGAAGAAGGCCUUCGGGUUGUAAAGCACUUUCAGUGGGGAAGAAAGCCUUGGGGCUAAUACCCUCGAGGAAGGACAUCACCCACAGAAGAAGCACCGGCUAACUCCGUGCCAGCAGCCGCGGUAAUACGGAGGGUGCGAGCGUUAAUCGGAAUUACUGGGCGUAAAGCGCGCGUAGGCGGUCUGAUAAGCCGGUUGUGAAAGCCCCGGGCUCAACCUGGGAACGGCAUCCGGAACUGUCAGGCUAGAGUGCAGGAGAGGAAGGUAGAAUUCCCGGUGUAGCGGUGAAAUGCGUAGAGAUCGGGAGGAAUACCAGUGGCGAAGGCGGCCUUCUGGACUGACACUGACGCUGAGGUGCGAAAGCGUGGGUAGCAAACAGGAUUAGAUACCCGUGUAGUC
rnacentral:rRNA from 1 species